rnacentral:lncRNA from 1 species
ACCUAACCUGCGCACGGAAACAACCGUACGCUGAGUAUGGAAAUACUCAGUGGUAUUACCAUAAUUCGAAUUAAUAACAUUAAUCGAUAAAUUAUAUACAUUUUAUUUAUGUCUACAAUUAUUCAUUAAUUAUCUCAUGCAUUAAAUCAACUUGAUAAUUAAUAACAAUAAGCUAUAAUUCAAAUCUUGUAUUUAAUUGUAUUCAUACCUUAUUUCACUAUCUCAAUUCCAUUGGAUUUUUCUUUACAUCUCAUUCCAAUAGUUCAUUUCAAUUCAUAUACAAUUCAUUUCAUUUAAUUUAUAUUCAAUAUAAAUUUUAUUGCAAUUUGUACUCACUAAUAUCAUAUAACAAAAUUUACUCUUUAUCACAUCAUGAACUUUGGGCUCAUAUCUUUAAAUCUCUUAUUUCGAUUUCCAAUUCACACAUCAAUUCACAACUUCACUUUUUCGUUUCUUCCCAUAGCUCAAUCAAUCACAUUUAUUCAAUUUUCUCAUUUCAAUUAUUUACCCCUAUUAACAAGACUCGGACCUUGGCGGAUACACGGAUCCAACCAAACACACCAAAAUGGCACCCAGUGCCUCAUCGGAUAGUUCGACGCAAUAGUUGACACCCAGUGUCUCAUCGGCCCAGCCGAAGUAAAGUUGGUACCCAGUACCUCAUCGAAUCUAUCCGAAGAAAUAUAGUGACACCCAGUGUCUCAUCGACUCAAGGUCGAAGUAUCCCUGAACUCUUCCAAUCCUAUGGCAUGCCAACUAUAUCCGACUCAGCCCGACUAGUUAAUAGGGUUUCCGAAUCACAUUUCAAUUCAAUCACUUUCUCAUACUUUCAAUUCAAAUCAUUCCCAUUUAAUCACCAUUUGUUUCAAUACAUUUUUCUAUUUCAAAUUCACUUUCGAUUUAAUCGCAAUUCAACUCAGAUUCACUUCCCACUUUCAAAUCAAUAUACAAUUCAAUACCAAUACAUAUUUCAGAUAUUCACAUAUAAUCAUACUUCGAUUCAAUUCAAACCACUUUUCAAUCAAUACACAAUUCACAUAUUCACAUAUCUCAAUUUAAUAUCUCAUUUAUUCAAUUCAUAUUUUAAUUCAUUCAAUUAAAUAUUGAUAUUCUCCUUAUUUUUAUUUACUAACAUAUUAUUCAAAAUUCAAUAAUUACUGUCAAUAAAUUCAAUAUCAAUACGUAUAUAUAUUAUUCAAUUCAAUUAUGAAACUCACCUCAAUUUGCUUAUCGUGUAUAUUAAUUUAAUUUUCAACGAUUAAUAAUUAAAUUCGAAUUAUAGUAAUACUAACCGUAAUUUCUCUCGAGUCACUCCUUGUCCACUUUCUCCUUUCCUUUCUCGGACAAUGAUUCGUACACGACAUUAACUACGUAAUUAAACAAUUAAAAAUCAUUAAUACACAAUUUCAUUAAAAUAUUUCCUUUUAUACCUAAACUUUACCCAAAUUCUAAUUUAAUCCCUUACCAAUACUAAUUUUAUUUUUCUCAAUCUAACUCUAUAUUCUCUCUUAAUUCUUACUAAACUCAUAUUUAACUAUUUAAUUUUUAUCAUGUUUUCAUAAUUCCGAAUUUAUUUCAAAUUAAUCCCUAAAAUUCAAAACUUAUAGUUUAGUUUACAAUUCAAUCCUUUAUUCAAUUCCAAUCAAAAUUUCUAUCAAAUACAUCCCUAAUUUAACAAUUUAUUCAACAUGAACCAUGCUUAAUAAUCUACUAACUUUCAAAAUUUCAACUUAAAUCAAGUAGUAUUUUAUUCUAGGAUUUCAAAAAAAAUAUCAAAAUUAAGAGAAAAGGGGAUUAAAUUGACUUACCAAAUUACUUUGAACCUUAAAACCCCGAAUUUCCCUUUUUCUUUUCUUUUCUUUCUUUCUUUCCUUCCUUCCUUCUCUGUUUCGUUUUGCUCUCUGUUUCUUUCUUUCUCCCUUCUCUGUUUUGUUUUGCUCUCUGUUUCUUUUCUUUCUUUCUUUGUCAUAUAUAUAUAUAUAUAUAAUAUAAUAUAAUAUAAAAUAAUAAUAAUAAUCAUUACUUACAUAUAUAUAUAUAUAUUAACUAGAAUAUCUCAGAUAUUUCUUUCAUUAUGCCGCCUCAACUUUAGAAAAAGGCAUAAUUGCCUAUUUGGUCCU